GCGGAGUUAGUCCAGCCUGGUAGGACGUCAGCUUCCCAAGCUGGAGGUCGCGUGUUCAAAUCCCGCACUCCGCA
rnacentral:tRNA from 1 species